rnacentral:rRNA from 1 species
UCGGGAAUUUUGGGCAAUGGGCGAAAGCCUGACCCAGCAACGCCGCGUGAAGGAUGAAGUAUUUCGGUAUGUAAACUUCGAAAGAAUAGGAAGAAUAAAUGACGGUACUAUUUAUAAGGUCCGGCUAACUACGUGCCAGCAGCCGCGGUAAUACGUAGGGACCAAGCGUUGUUCGGAUUUACUGGGCGUAAAGGGUGCGUAGGCGGACUGAUAAGUCAGUGGUGAAAUCUCUCAGCUUAACUGAGAAACUGCCAUUGAUACUGCAGGUCUAGAGUAUAGAUGACGUUGGCGGAAUAUGACAUGUAGUGGUGAAAUACUUAGAUAUGUCAUAGAACACCGAUUGCGAAGGCAGCUAACGAAACUAUAACUGACGCUGAGGCACGAAAGUGCGGGGAUCAAACAGGAUUAGAUACCCCGGUAGUCCCUGAGCGGGCUGGCAAGGCGCAU